rnacentral:sRNA from 1 species
UCUGGCCCAAUUGGAAGUGAUUUCGUAUAUUAAUAAAGUGUACCAAACUGGGGGAAAAAAAAAAGUAUGUUGAGUCCAUAACUGCAUUUCAGUAUCUCAGUGGGAGGUUAGGCUGCUGGAUGAAAAACAGUGCUGGACCUUCACCUUUCUUGACUUAGCUAAGUGAACAGAUGGGGUGUUGGUCCAGGGGAAGCCCUGCUCUAAGGGGUGUGGGGUCAUUGCUCCAGGAGUGAUGCAUCUGUUCACAGGAGGGGCAUGACUGUGAGAGGAGAUUGGGUCUCUUUCAGGUGCAUGUUUGCCUACAAGCUGGGUCUGAAUGACUUGCCCCAGUCAGUCGCCUUUUUCAGUGCAGUCGAUAUUGACCGGUGCCUCAGGAAGGAAGUGACCAUGGAUUGUAAAACCCCUUCCAACCCAACUGGGAUGGAAAGGAGAUACGGGAUUCCCCAGGGUGAAGCGCUGGAUAUUUACCAGAUAAUUGAACUCACCAAAGGCUCCUUGGAAAAACGAAGCCAGCCUGGACCAUAGCACUGCCUGGAGGCUCUGUAUUUGCUCCCGUGGAGCUUCAUCAGGGUGGUGCAGGCUCCCAAACUCAGGCUUUCAGCUGUGCUUUUUGCAAAAGGGCUUGCCUAAGGCCAGCCAUUUUUCAGUAGCAGGACCUGCCAAGAAGAUUCCUUCUAACUGAAGGUGCAGUUGAAUUCAGUGGGUUCAGAACCAAGAUGCCAACGUCGGUGUGGACUACAGGACAAGGGGCAUUGUUGC